UUUUACCCNNGCUCAGGAUUAAACGGUGGGGGGCAGGCCUAACAACAUGCAAGUUGAGCGGGGAGAGAGGUGCUUGCACCUCUUGAAGAGCGGCGGACGGGGUGAAGUAAAGCCUAGGAAAUCUGCCUGGUAAGGGGGGAAAAACGCUCGGAAAACGGACCGCUAAUACCGCAUACGUCUUACGGGAGAAAAGCAGGGGACCUUCGGGGCCUUGCGCUAUCAGAUNNGCCUAGGUCGGAUUAGCUAGUUGGUGGGGUAAUGGCUCACCAAGGGGACGAUCCGUAANUGGUUUGAGAGGAUGAUCAGUCACACUGGAACUGAGACACGGUCCAGACUCCUACGGGAGGCANCAGUGGGGAAUAUUGGACAAUGGGCGAAAGCNUGAUCCAGCCAUGCCGCGUGUGUGAAGAAGGUCUUNGGAUUGUAAAGCANUNCCCCUNGGGAGGAAGGGCNUUAACCUAAUACGUUAGUGUUUUGACGUUACCGACAGAAUAAGCACCGGCUAACUCUGUGCCAGCAGCCGCGGUAAUACAGAGGGUGCAAGCGUUAAUCGGAAUUACUGGGCGUAAAGCGCGCGUAGGUGGUUCGUUAAGUUGGAUGUGAAAGCCCCGGGCUCAACCUGGGAACUGCNUUCAAAACUGUCGAGCUAGAGUAUGGUAGAGGGUGGUGGAAUUUCCUGUGUNGCGGUGAAAUGNGUANNNAUNGGAAGGAACACCAG
rnacentral:rRNA from 1 species